rnacentral:lncRNA from 1 species
AUGGGACUUGAACCCAGCCAAAACUCAGAAUGGGACUUGAACUCCUGGGCUGGGACUGAAACCCACCAUCUUUUAACUGAAAUUGCACUCCUGGUUUUGGGACUUAAAGAACGGGAGUUUUGUUUCGUGUUGGAGUUUCCUCUAUGGACCAGACUUUUUUUUCUAAAGAGGCUUCUUCCAGGCUUAUUUUUUAAAUCUAAUUAUACAGUAUAUGAACACUGUAUAUACAGUUAUUUUACAGUUAUUUUUAUAAAUGAUUUACAGAAAAAGCCCUAUGAUCAAGACCAACAACGUGCUUUCCCUUCUCUCCAGACCUGUUCCAGGUACUGCCGAAAAGAUAAGAUUCCCAGGUGAUGGCAUGCACAUCAGAGUUUGAGAAGCACUAAACUAAAAAUAAAAUCGCCUCAGAAAACCCCCUGACGAGAAAUAUGUGCGAGACCAGCAUGAAGACAAGCACGUGACUUCCCUGACAGACAGCACGUAGCACAUUCCUGGAUGGGGCGACUCAGCGGUGUGAAGACGUCUGUUUUCACCACUGCAGAAUGUGUCAAAGUGAUUUGUGAAAUUCAUCUGAAAGAAUAAAGGGCCAAGAAUAGCUUUUUUUUUUUUUUUUUUAAGAAAAUAAAAAUAAUGAGUUGAGAUGUGCCCUGUCAGAGAGAAAUGGGUGAUAAGUAAGAAUUCAGGUUCUGGAGGAAGCAGACCAGGCAUUGAAUCUGGCUCUACCACUUCCUUGAGUUUCCUUCCUUGAGCAAACUUCAGGAGAUAGU